ensembl:lncRNA novel transcript
AGUGGAAAUCUCAGCCAUUCAGUGUUUGGGUGAAGACGGAGGCGGGUUCUGGACAGACCUACGCUGUCGGGGAGUGUUUACUUCGCCUCCACUUCUGUUCCUCCCCGCCCUGGUGCUGCUCCAGGUCACAUACUCUUCCUGAGCCGGCUUCAGCCUCUCCGCGCAGAAGUCUCCCGGAGCCAUGGCCUAGUAUUCUUAUGUGAAGUCUACCAAGCUUGUGCUCAAGGGAACCGAGGUGAAGAGCUGGGUCCUGCAGCUCCGGCGGGAGCCUCCUCAGUUCUUUUCGGACGCACUCCACCCCCGCGAAUCCGGUGGAAGCCGUGAUGCGGAGAGCCGGCUUCGUGGCCUCCCAGGCUUCGCUCUGACCCUGUCUGGGCUGGAUGGAGGCCGGACCGCCCUUCCUGGCGCCUGUGCAGAGAGGGGCAGCCUCCUGCGCGGACGACCCUGGAAACAGGAUAGACGGGCGGGUGACCCGUGACCCCGUACCCACGAGUUUGGGUCCCUUGAGGCAUCUCUCCAGGCCUCUGCCUGAUUUGCCUGAGGUUGACUGUACAUGCAAAUAUUGAGCUUUCCUCCUGGCCUCCGUGAUAAACAGAAGUUUUGAUAUUGUUAGGCGAGAUGGAAAGAAAGUAUCAAGGAGUGAGCUGAAGCCACUGCCCUUGAGAACCCUCUCGAGGAGUCUGGCCUCAUGAAGAUGCCAGAAUAAAUGGCAGUAAGAAGAAAAAGAGCAAAGAUAAGAAGAGAAAAAGAGAAGAUGAAGAAACCCAGCUUGAUAUGUUGAGGAACGCAGCUGCUCACCAGCAACGGAACAAAGCUGGACGGAGAAUGACUUUGAAGAGCUGAGAGAAGGCUUCAGACGAUCAAAUUACUCUGAGCUACGGGAGGACAUUCAAACCAAAGGCAAAGAAGUUGAAAACUUUGAAAAAAAUAAAUGUACAUUAAUUAACGUGGAAUCUGGUGAACAGUAACAAACUUUGGUGAAAUUUCAGGAACCAUAGCCAUUGAAGUGGAUGAGGGAACCUAUAUACAUGCACUCAACAAUGGUCUUUUUACCCUGGGAGCUCCACACAAAGAAGAAUCGCCCUGAAACCUGGCUAUGGAAAAUAUCUUAGUAUAAAUUCAGAUGAACUUGUUGUUGGCGUUCAGAUGCAAUUGGACCAAGAGAACAAUGGGAACCAGUCUUUCAAAAUGGUGCCUGUGCAGCAGUAUUCACUGUGAUAGGAAGUGAGAAGCAGUCUGAGUGUUCAUUGCUGAGGGAAUCAAGGGCAAAAUAUCAUGGAUGCACUCAUGGACAAAUAAGCAGCAGUUUGAAGCAACACCCUAGAUGGAUGUACAGCCAUCAAGAGGAUCUUAAAGUGUGGUCUUUAGUGGAAAAAAAGGUUACAUUUGAACAUAUUUAUCUGCUAAAGCGAAAUGUUUCCCAUCAUUCUAUAGCAGAAGCAAUGUAUGGGAGACUGAGUAAUUACAUAUGAGCUCACAUCACUAUCUCUUCCACCACUGUCAUCCAUCAUGACUGAUCUGGGAGAUGAAACAGCACAGAUCUAAAGGACGUGGAAGAAAGAAGCUUAUAAAGUGUCCAUCAUGAGAAUCCACCUGGGACCUACACAACAGAUCAAAUACCCAGAACAAAUCACCACGUCAGAGCCCCACAGAAUUCUGAUUCCCAACCAACAAGCAUGAGUAAUCCUUUUAAAUGGUCACUUACAUAUCAGAACAGGUCCUUUGUGAAAUUUCUAAGCAAGGCCUCUGGUUUCUGACUGAAACAGAGAUUUAUUGAGAAGGAGGGGUAAAGUGAAAUCAAGAACUGCUGGGAAAUUUCCACAAGAAACAAGGACAAAUGGUUUUUGUUGUCAGAGUAAAACCAGCCUCCCCUAGCCAUGGUUUGGAAAGUUAUUUGCUAGCCCACAGGGGACAAUAUUCUCAACUGGUUUAUCAGGGACCCUUUUGAUCCAAUUAUAGUUAUUGGGCAGAUACAGUAGUACCCUAUUAUCAGAAGACCUAGUUUCAAAUCCUGAGUCAACUUCUAAUUCACUGUGUGACCUUGUACAAGUCACUUAAGCUCUCUGAUCAUUGGUUCAACAUCUUUAAUAUGAGGAGAGUAAUGCCUAUCUCAAUUACCUCAUAAAAUUAUUGCAAAGA